CCUCUAAGACUAUUGGUCUACACAUCAUGCUGAUUUUCCCCCUUAAUUCCGUGAUUCUUAGACAUGAAUUUCUAAAUGCAGGCAAGCAAAAAGAUAGCCGAUGUAAAGCUUGCAAAAUAUUUCCAAGCAGUUCUGAAAGAGUUUCAGAAAGCUCAAAGGCUUGCAGCUGAGAGGAAAACUGCUUAUGCCCCUUUUGUUCCUCAAGCAGUUCUUCCUUCGAGGUUGUUAAUGAUUUACUGAACCCAGCAGGACAGAAUCUAAGAAUCAGGGAGGAUCUUCAGGAGUUCAAGAGGUUGUUUAGGGAAGAUGCUAUGGAUUAUGCUACGUGCACAGCUAAUGUCAAGAGGAAACGACCUACUCCAAGAAGUUUGAGAGGUGGAAAAGCUCCAUGGGAUAAAGGUGAA